UACGUAGGGUGCGAGCGUUAAUCGGAAUUACUGGGCGUAAAGCGUGCGCAGGCGGUUUUGUAAGUCGGAUGUGAAAUCCCCGGGCUUAACCUGGGAAUGGCAUUCGGGACUGCAAGGCUGGAGUGCGGCAGAGGAGACUGGAAUUCCUGGUGUAGCAGUGAAAUGCGUAGAUAUCUGGAGGAACACCGGUGGCGAAGGCGGCAUCCUGGACCGAUACUGACGCUGAGGAGCGAAAGCGUGGGGAGCGAACAGG
rnacentral:rRNA from 1 species